rnacentral:tRNA from 1 species
CUGGAUAUAGCUCAGCUUGGUAGAGCGUCUGCUUUGGGAGCAGGAUGUCAGAGGUUCAAAUCCUCUUUUCCAGACCA